UGGGGAAUAUUGGACAAUGGGCGCAAGCCUGAUCCAGCCAUGCCGCGUGAGUGAUGAAGGCCCUAGGGUUGUAAAGCUCUUUCAGUGGGGACGAUAAUGACGGUACCCACAGAAGAAGCCCCGGCUAACUUCGUGCCAGCAGCCGCGGUAAUACGAAGGGGGCUAGCGUUGUUCGGAAUUACUGGGCGUAAAGCGCACGUAGGCGGACUUUUAAGUCAGGGGUGAAAUCCCGGGGCUCAACCCCGGAACUGCCUCUGAUACUGGAAGUCUCGAGUGUGGUAGAGGUGAGUGGAAUUGCGAGUGUAGAGGUGAAAUUCGUAGAUAUUCGCAGGAACACCAGUGGCGAAGGCGGCUCACUGGACCACAACUGACGCUGAGGUGCGAAAGCGUGGGGAGCAAACAGG
rnacentral:rRNA from 1 species